UACGGAGGGUGCAAGCGUUGUCCGGAUUCAUUGGGUUUAAAGGGUGCGCAGGCGGGACAUUAAGUCAGGGGUGAAAGACGGUUGCUCAACAAUCGCAGUGCCUUUGAUACUGGUGUUCUUGGGUGACGGUGAGGUAGGCGGAAUGGGUGGUGUAGCGGUGAAAUGCAUAGAUACCACCCAGAACUCCGAUUGCGAAGGCAGCUCACUAAAUUGUAACUGACGCUGAGGCACGAAAGCGUGGGGAGCGAACAGG
rnacentral:rRNA from 1 species